CUUUACUUAAUGUAUUUAUCAUUUGUGUUCUAAGGUCUUUCCUAAUGACUAAGAAACAGACAUCAAUUGUACUGCUUCAAAUAAUAAUGAAUUCCACCAGAGUUAAAGUAUCUUUAUGCCUUUGGUUGGAACGUAUUGCAAGUGCAUGAGUAUUCAGUGCAUGCUUAUUCGUUGUUUAUAUAGUAAUACUGGUUUGCAUGGUUCUAUACAAAUAAGUAGGAAAAUAUGAUGGGGCCAUAUUGUGUUCUCAGGUACAACCCUAUUGAAAACGGUGGAACUGGACCAGUGCAAAUGACUGGAAUUUCAAAUGAUCCCUGCGUCAAACAGCUAACAGUCCACGGUCCUGAUCCUGCAGACACAGAUGAGUUUUACUUUUCGCCUCUGGAGAAACCAAGGCAGGGAGUGGUGGAAUGACUUGCAGAAGGUCACACAAUGAAUCAGUGGCAUAGCUUCACUGGACACAGAGACCAAAAUGCAACAGUUUUGGAGGGGACACUUCUGCGUGAAGCUGAAAGAGCUGCUUGUUCCGCUUGAUAGUUCUGUGAAAUCACAACUUUUUAUUUGGUG